UGCCCAUUAGCUCAGUUGGUUAGAGCAUCGUGCUAACAACGCAAAGGUCGCAGGUUCGAUACCUACAUGGGCCA
rnacentral:tRNA from 1 species